rnacentral:rRNA from 2 species
UACGGAGGAAAAGAAACCAACAGGGAUUGCCUCAGUAACGGCGAGUGAAGCGGCAAAAGCUCAAAUUUGAAAUCCCCCGGGAAUUGUAAUUUGAAGAGAUUUGGGUCCGGCCGGCAGGGGUUAAGUCCACUGGAAAGUGGCGCCACAGAGGGUGACAGCCCCGUGAACCCCUUUAACGCCCUCAUCCCAGAUCUCCAAGAGUCGAGUUGUUUGGGAAUGCAGCUCUAAGUGGGUGGUAAAUUCCAUCUAAAGCUAAAUACCGGCGAGAGACCGAUAGCGAACAAGUACAGUGAUGGAAAGAUGAAAAGCACUUUGAAAAGAGAGUGAAAAAGUACGUGAAAUUGUUGAAAGGGAAGGGCUUGCAAGCAGACACUUAACUGGGCCAGCAUCGGGGCGGCGGGGAAGACAAAACCACCGGGGGAAAUGUCCCUUUUCGGAGGGAAUUAUAACCCCGGUCCUUACUUCCUUGCUGCCCCGAGGCCUGCAAUCUAAGGAUGCUGGCGUAAUGGUUGCAAGUCGCCCGUCU